AUGACUAAAGCUAAGAGGGCUGGCGGCAUUGGGUUCAGGGAUAUGCAUCUAUUUAACCAAGCACUUCUCGCGAAACAAGGAUGGAGGCUAAUCCAAAACCCGGACAGUCUCUAUGCGAGAGUGCUGAAAUCGAAAUACUACCCCAAUGGUAAUUUGUUGGAUACUGUCUUUGCAUCGGACGCAUCCCCGGUGUGGAGAGCCAUAGAGUUUGGACUUCAGCUCUUGAAGAAGGGGCUUAUCUGGAGGGUAGGAGAUGGCAGAAACAUACAAAUCCAACGGGACCAAUGGCUUCCGAGAAGAGAGGGCCUAUUGACUGCAAAUUUCAUCAGGAGGUCUCGACUGAGGUGGGUCAAACAACUUAUACUACCGGAUAGAAAAGAGUGGAAUACAGAGCUCAUCCGACAAAUCUUAUACCGCUUCGAUGCUGAUGAGAUUUGCAGGAUCCCAAUCCUGGCCUCGGGGGCUGUGGGCAUGGUAGCAUGGCACCAUGAGAGAAACGGAGUCUUCUCGGUGAAGAGUGCUUACAAGCUUGCUGAAAAUUUGGCUAAACAGAGCCUCAAUCCUUAA
rnacentral:rRNA from 1 species